ACCUAUAGGACAUAAAUUAGUAAGCUUAGGACCUAAGUUAGUG
rnacentral:sRNA from 1 species